rnacentral:rRNA from 1 species
GAUGAACGCUAGCGGCAGGCUUAAUACAUGCAAGUCGUGGGGCAGCAGGUUUGUAGCAAUACAGAUGCUGGCGACCGGCAAACGGGUGCGGAACACGUACAGAACCUUCCUUGAGCGGGGAAUAGCCCAGAGAAAUUUGGAUUAAUACCCCAUAGUAUAAUGAAGUGGCAUCACUUUAUUAUUAAAGAUUUAUCACUCGAAGAUGGCUGUGCGGCUGAUUAGGUAGUUGGCGGGGUAAAGCCCACCAAGCCUGCGAUCAGUAACUGGUGUGAGAGCACGACCAGUCACACGGGCACUGAGACACGGGCCCGACUCCUACGGGAGGCAGCAGUAAGGAAUAUUGGUCAAUGGAGGCAACUCUGAACCAGCCAUGCCGCGUGGAGGAUGAAGGUCCUCUGGAUUGUAAACUUCUUUUAUAU